rnacentral:rRNA from 1 species
GGAUCCAGACUUUGAUCAUGGCUCAGGAUGAACGCUAGCUACAGGCUUAACACAUGCAAGUCGAGGGGAAACGACAUCGAAAGCUUGCUUUUGAUGGGCGUCGACCGGCGCACGGGUGAGUAACGCGUAUCCAACCUGCCCACCACUUGGGGAUAACCUUGCGAAAGUAAGACUAAUACCCAAUGACAUCCAUAGAAGACAUCUGAAAUGGAUUAAAGAUUUAUCGGUGAUGGAUGGGGAUGCGUCUGAUUAGCUUGUUGGCGGGGUAACGGCCCACCAAGGCGACGAUCAGUAGGGGUUCUGAGAGGAAGGUCCCCCACAUUGGAACUGAGACACGGUCCAAACUCCUACGGGAGGCAGCAGUGAGGAAUAUUGGUCAAUGGGCGAGAGCCUGAACCAGCCAAGUAGCGUGCAGGACGACGGCCCUAUGGGUUGUAAACUGCUUUUAUAAGGGAAUAAAGUGAGUCUCGUGAGACUUUUUGCAUGUACCUUAUGAAUAAGGACCGGCUAAUUCCGUGCCAGCAGCCGCGGUAAUACGGAAGGUCCGGGCGUUAUCCGGAUUUAUUGGGUUUAAAGGGAGCGUAGGCCGGAGAUUAAGCGUGUUGUGAAAUGUAGAGGCUCAACCUCUGCACUGCAGCGCGAACUGGUCUUCUUGAGUACGCACAACGUGGGCGGAAUUCGUGGUGUAGCGGUGAAAUGCUUAGAUACCACGAAGAACUCCGAUUGCGAAGGCAGCUCACGGGAGCGCAACUGACGCUGAAGCUCGAAAGUGCGGGUAUCGAACAGGAUUAGAUACCCUGGUAGUCCGCACGGUAAACGAUGGAUGCCCGCUGUUGGCCUGAAUAGGUCAGCGGCCAAGCGAAAGCAUUAAGCAUCCCACCUGGGGAGUACGCCGGCAACGGUGCAACUCAAAGGAAUUGACGG